ensembl:misc_RNA Y_RNA Y RNA
GGCUGCUCUGAAGGUAGUGAGUUAUUUCAAUUGAUUUUUCAUGGUUAGAAAUCAAACUCCUUUUUCUAUUCUUUCCCCUAUUCUCACUACUGUACUUGAGCAGUCUUAA